ACCACCCACCGCCAGGUCUCUCCUCAUCUAUCCCGCUCCAGACCCCUCCCUGUCUACCCCACGCCAUGCCCCUCCCCAUUCAGAUCGCAGCCUCGAGAUACGGCGGCCCAGUGCUACACUUCGAGCUGAGACGGCAGCGGUGGCGGCAGGACGGCAUGCCGGAUCAAUUCCCCGAGGUCGCUAGCGGCGGGCACGGAUCCAGCUCCAUCCAGCUGCGGGUAUGGUUCCAGGUCCAUCUGGCGGCGGGCACAGAUCCAAAUCCAUCCGGCUGAGAGCCAACUUUAUUCUCGUGGGGAUGGUCAGCUCUGCAGAUUAUAUAAUAGCAUGCAUUUGAAACAAAUCUGCACGUUAUGGAAGUUUGUACAUUAGAACUCGGAAGAAAGGUCAAGCCAAUUUCAUCACUAGCAUGAGACUUGGCAAUAUUGCAAGGUGGAG